ACCAGUUAGGUGCCAAUCUAUCCUGUGAGGUUAUGGAUGAAAAUCAAGCUGAGUCUGUGUAACGUGAAAUUCUUCCUCACAGAUGCCCAGAGAUAUCAAGGAAAGAAAAACAGUGAAGGACUGGAAUCCUUGCAGCCGCAUGAUCAAGGAAAUAAACUGAAGACAGGAUUGUAGAGAGGAUUUCUUCAGAGAACCACUAUACUCUGAUCCCCGAAAGACUGGAAAUGCGAGGGGGGUGCUACCCUCAUCACCCGACAUCGAGUACAGCUUAGAGUUAAG
rnacentral:lncRNA from 1 species